UCUCAAAAAAUACAGACACCAGUGUGUGGUGGCUACAAACAGCAAUCUCCUUUGUAGCAUAGACAGCCUGUUGCUUGUAUGGGUUGUCCUAAGUGAACUUGGAGACAGCA
rnacentral:snoRNA from 1 species